UUUUUUUUUUUUUUUUUCUUUUUUUCUUUUUCCUGAGAUGUGUUUUCUAUUCCUUAUGCUGUUUUACAGUGGUAGUGAAUGCACAAAUGCUGCAAAGCACCUGGGGAAAAAUCCUCACCUGCAGCAUGUGCAGCUCCUAUACCCUGCCUGGCAUAAAACUAGAGGCAAGCUGAGGCAGAGGAAAUAAAGAAAAUCAUGUAUUUCACAGGAGAAGGCAGUUUGCUGCAACAGAUCUAUCUCAUUAGUGCUGUGAUGACAUUAGAUGCCAGGAUAUUCCAUUUUAACUAGAUCAUAAAUUUGACUUUGCCUAAAGGAUACAUCAUCAGUGAUGUCUGUGUUCCAGUAGCUUCCUUAGGGUUUGCAGUCUCAGCUUGGGCCUCCCUCCUCCCAAGACAGGUUUUAUCCAGAACUGGGAACUUGGUGCUCCUGUAAAUUAAGACUGGAGUGAAAAGCUGGAUUCUUGUUGCCUCCCUCCUGUUGACAAAUGUUCUUUCUUUUAAUCUAGCUAGCUGACAAGGAAAUGAAUUAAACAUUAGCUGAAUUGGUGAACUAAGUGUUGAAAUCCUUUCCUUGUGAAAGGAAAAAGCAUUUCACCUGGCAGGUGUUUAACAGCUAUUCAGUAGGUCAAGACUGAAGGAAAAUGGGAUAAUUUUGUUUUAUUAAAAAUGGAAGAAACCAGCAAAAUUUUUCUUUAGCAUAUUUUCUGUAGCAAUUUCUUUCCUAAUAAAAAGAUCAUCCUCCAACUGCAGCAAUCACAAAUGUAAUUUUACACUCUUUGGGGGGAAAAGCAGACAGGCAGAGACAGAGAAAUAAGUAGUGGAAGUAAUUAAUCAAUUUAAGGAGAAGUGAUAUGGCAAACUGCUGCAUACUGGUAGCUACAAAGCUAUUAAUAAAAUUCUUGAGUGUUUAUCAAAAUGUUAUGUUAUUAAGCAAGUCCCAUGGUAACACUACUGCUUUAAAUGCACACCUGCUUGUAUAGCUCCCUCCCAGGGUGGAAGUGAGGUUUAUAGUGGGGAUUUGCCUCUUGAGUGGCAUCUCAACACUUCUAAAAAUCAAAAAUAUGAUUAAUUUCAGCUGAUUGAUACUAUAAGGUGCCCGCUUCACAAGAUAGGUAAUAAGUACAGCAUAAAUAUAAGUAAAGCAUAUAUGGCAUUACUCUCACAAGCCAAACUAAUCUUCAUUAAAAAAAUCCUGUACAUGCGGAUUGUUUUUUACUAGCUGUAAAAAUUCUGUCAUUAAUUUACUUUUUUUUUUUUUCCAUAUCUUUGAGGAAAAAGUGUGCUGAAGGGCAAAAAUUGAAAUGGUGAGGUUAGGAAGAGGAAGCUGAAGAUGCCAAGGUCUCAGUUAUUACAAAAUCCUUUACUUUCCUAUAAGCACAGCUGGAUGAUUUUAGGAUCAUAGAUACAGCAUAAAAAAAAAAAUACAACUGCAGUGGCCACUUUCACAGUAAUGAGUUCAGAGCUCCUUUUUUAAUCCGUGGGAUGCUUUACUGGGGAGUUCCUCACCGUACUUGCCUGCUCACAGUUCAGUGGGGCUCUUUUGGGUUUGUUUUGUUCUCUCCUCACUUUGGCAGGUUUGAUUUUUCCAGCUUGUGCCAGCCCCUUCUGAUCCAGGAAAUCCCAAGAGACGGAAGUUACACUUGGAGCAGGGGAUAAUUUUUACUCCAUAACAAUCCUGGAUAAUAUAAAGGGAAUUUUUUGAAGCAGAUCCCAUCAGAGUAUGAGGCUGUGUGAGUUAAAGCUGUGGCA
rnacentral:lncRNA from 1 species